rnacentral:rRNA from 1 species
UGGGGAAUAUUGGGCAAUGGGCGCAAGCCUGACCCAGCAACGCCGCGUGAGGGAAGAAGGCUUUCGGGUUGUAAACCUCUGUCCUUGGUGACGAAAAAAAUGACGGUAGCCAAGGAGGAAGCCCCGGCUAACUACGUGCCAGCAGCCGGGGUAAUACGUAGGGGGCGAGCGUUGUCCGGAAUUACUGGGCGUAAAGGGUGCGUAGGUGGCCUUUUAAGUUGGAUGUGAAAUCCCCGAGCUUAACUUGGGUGGGGCAUCUAAUACUGGAGGGCUAGAGUGCAGGAGAGGAAAGCGGAAUUCCUAGUGUAGCGGUGAAAUGCGUAGAUAUUAGGAGGAACACCAGUGGCGAAGGCGGCUUUCUGGACUGUAACUGACACUGAGGCACGAAAGCGUGGGGAGCAAACA